GAAGUUUUAAGUGAAAUAUUAAAUACGUUUAAAAUUUUGCCAAAUUUCGCCGACCAUUAAUUAUUCUGAAAAUCUUAACGUUAAUAUUGUCUCUCUUUCAACCUUACGUUACAACAUGACACAUUUAUCAACAAAUUGACGUUUUCUGCCACGUUGAUGUUUCAUCCCAUUUUUAGACGGUUGAAAAGACAUUGAAAUGAGGUCUUAGACGUCCAGACCUCAUUUCAACCCGAUUUCAACCAUAUUUCAACGUUGAAAUUACGUCUUGUGCUCACUGGGCUGUGUCUCAAGUGUGCCUUGACGCAAAAAAGGUUUAAAAACACUGCAUAGAGAAAUAGAGAAUAUAAAUAUAAAUAUAAAUAUAAAUAUUUCUAAUAGAAAUAUUAGAAAAAAUAUGAUCCCAAAUUUUAAAGUUAUGGAGGAGCUUUAAACGUAGACACUGUUUAAGCAUGAUUAUGCCUCGGGUUAAUUCUUUGUCGGAAGUCUGAGCUUUUCCAACAAGCUUACUCGUUGAGGAUCUAUAGAUUGAUUGCAUAAUCUCUUUUCAUCUUCUCCUCCUCUCUCUCUGCUUUCAUCCUUCGCUCUUCUCUCCUUCAUUCCUCUGAUGUGCUCGUGUCCUCUGCCGUCCUUACAUUCUUCUGCAGGGGUCUCUACUCUGCUUUUUUGCCCCCCGCCCCCUUCUCCUUCUCCUUUUACUGCCACCCCGACCAUAUCCCCCACACACACACAUUCCUCUCAGGGUUGGCUACUUUCCCUUAGUCAUCAGUAAGAGGUGAAAUCUAACCUCACCCGUCUUCCACUGGCUCCUUGACAGAAGAAAAAAAAAUGCUUAACAAAAAAAUGAGAGGAAGUAAGCAAUGAAUAAUCCAAACUCAUGUUUGCCAGCAAAGCAGUACAGUCGGGGUGUGUGUGUGUGUGUGUGUGUUAUGGCCUGCCUAUCAUGCCCUAGGGGUGCACAGGCGUAACACAAAAAUGUUGGCGCAAAGUUUCAACAAAAGUAAAUAAAAUGUAUUUGUAACACUUUAUUCAUCACAAAAAGGCAACUCAAAAGGAAGCAAACACAUCAGGAUCUCAAAGGCCAAAACAAUAAACAAAACCACCCCCCUGGCAAGAAAUCAAAGGUGUUCUGACCUACCGUGGGAAAAGGAAAGUCAAUACAGACCUCCCUCUCUAUCCACAAAACAGGAGAAAAAGCAGUGAGAUGGCAGAGAAGCCUUACACACUCCCCCCACACAACGGUGGUCGGUACACAGACUCGUACCGACACAAGCAGUCUGCUAAUUGUCACACAAAGGGAAAAGAGAGACCCCUCACCACUGGGUCCGGGAGCCUUUAUGUGGCCCACUAAUGGCCUGAUGUCUCUCAGGUGGUAUUGCUCCAGGUGAAAUCACCUGAGAGAAUUGCCCCCGCCCUCUCCUCAGGAGGGGGCAGAGUCACAUCAGGGGGGUAUUCCAGAAAGCGGGUUAUGUGAAAACUCAGAGUAAGUUAACCCUGAGAUCAGGGAAACUCUUGAGUUAUCCGUUCCAGAUAGAGAGGUAACUGAAACUCUGAGUCAAUCACCAUGGUAACAGACUGUGAACAUAACCUGCUCGCUGGCAGGUUUAGUAUAAGAAACCCGGAGUUCAUACCGUCUCCUCCCACAUGAAGAAAGCUGGUAGACAUGGAUUGUACAUUCCUACCGAAUCCAAUUGACAUCGAAGCCUUAGUGAUUCGAAAUGCUUUACAUCGCGAGAGAGUCUUCCGACUCAGAUUGGACGUUUUAUCAUUUCCAGAGGACUUUCUGUUAGAACGCUACCGCUUUACUAGUAACUAGGAAACAUAUGGACGACAUUUAAUUUCUACAGUUCCACAUACAGAUUUAACAUGGUAUUGACCGAAAAUCUCACUGUUUCAAGCUGUGCUGUGGGUCGGUGAUGCCCAACCAUGUUCUGUUCAAGGACAAGAAUGUGCUAGUUAUGUUAUCCAUUAGCCAUUAUCUAUGCUCAUCACUUCAGUCUACUUGUCAAACUCCAAAUUCCACUCUAGAAUGUGAAUGGGCAGAGCACUGGCAGUAGAUAAUAUUAAGACAGACUUCAGUAGGCCUCCCUGGAUCUCUCCCUGUGGCAGCAGACAGCGUUUCCUCCUCAUCGUCAUCAUGCUCCUGUGGUGCAGGAAAAGAUACUGUUUCUGCAUACUUUUAACUACCAUCUGAGGCAGGACCUGAGUAUCUGCAGGAUUUACAGCUGUGCAGAUGACACCAUCCACAACUGUUGGGUGGGUGGAUAUAUAUAAUUUAAAAAGCAGGCUAUAUAUAUAUACACACACUACCGUUCAAAGGUUUGGGGUCACUUAGAAAUUACCUUAUUUUUCAAAGAAAAGCUUAUUUUUUUCAAUGAAGAUAUCCAUCCAUCCAUC
ensembl:lncRNA